rnacentral:rRNA from 1 species
CAGCAGCCGCGGGAAAACGUAGGGUGUAAGCGUUAAUCGGAAUUACUGGGCGUAAAGCGUGCGCAGGCGGUGUUGUAAGACUGAUGUGAAAUCCCCGGGCUCAACCUGGGAGCUGCAUUGGUGACUGCAACGCUGGAGUGCGGCAGAGGGGGAUGGAAUUCCGCGUGUAGCAGUGAAAUGCGUAGAUAUGCGGAGGAACACCGAUGGCGAAGGCAAUCCCCUGGGCCUGCACUGACGCUCAUGCACGAAAGCGUGGGGAGCAAACAGGAUUAGAGACCCCCGUAGUCCCUGUCUCUUAUAA